rnacentral:rRNA from 1 species
GACGAACGCUGGCGGCGUGCUUAACACAUGCAAGUCGAACGGUGAACCUCUUCGGAGGGGAUCAGUGGCGAACGGGUGAGUAACACGUGGGCAACCUGCCCCCGGCUCUGGGAUAACUCCAAGAAAUUGGGGCUAAUACCGGAUGUUCACCGCUUCCCGCAUGGGUGGUGGUGCAAAGGGUUUCCGGCUGGGGAUGGGCCCGCGGCCUAUCAGCUUGUUGGUGGGGUAGUGGCCUACCAAGGCGACGACGGGUAGCCGGCCUGAGAGGGUGACCGGCCACACUGGGACUGAGAGACGGCCCAGACUCCUACGGGAGGCAGCAGUGGGGAAUAUUGCGCAAUGGGCGGAAGCCUGACGCAGCGACGCCGCGUGGGGGAUGACGGCCUUCGGGUUGUAAACCUCUUUCAGCAGGGACGAAGCGCAAGUGACGGUACCUGCAGAAGAAGCACCGGCCAACUACGUG